GUGGGCCUGCGUCCGACAGCGCGCGGCCGUGCUUUCUAAGCGGGCUCGGCAGCACCAGACUUCACCGGCCCGGCGCGGGGCUCACAAGUGCUCGCACUCCCUGCGGCCGGCGCGCUGACCGGAGCCUCUGGGUCUCGCACGCAGCAGCUGCAGACGCUGCCCGGCGCGGUGGGGCUGUGAGCAAAACGGCCCGCCGGUGUGGUUGCCCAGACUGUGCUGGGCCCUCCUAGGUGGAUGGCCCUGCCCCAGCCUAACUUCUGUACCCCAGCAUAACCUCCAAAGUAACAGCCGUGCCCUGGGAGCCUGUUCAACACUGAACAUAUCCCACAAUAACACUGUUCCAGCGUCGCUGGUAAAAAGCAGAAAUGGCUUCGCUGGAGGCAUCGACAAAUCUAAUGCAGUAACCUCAUUUUACAGAAGAGAACUCUAAGAGGAUAACUAACUUGGCCAAGAUCACAUGAUGUUUCUGGAUGAGAUUAGCAUUCAAAUUCGUGGACUCAUUAAAGUAGAUGGCUCUCUCCAAUAUGGGUGGGCAUCAUCCAAUCUGUUGAAGGCGUGAAGAGAACAAGAGAAGGAGGAAGGAAGAAUUCACCUUUUUUCUUGCUGCCCACCUGCUUGGGCUGGGACAUUGCAUCUCACCUUCUCCAGCCUUUGGAUGAGGAUUUACACCCUGGUUCUCAGGCCUUCAGGCUCUAACUGGAGCUACACUAUCAACUUUCCUGGGCCUCCAGAUUGCAGAUGGUGGAUCACGGUACUUUUUAGCCUCCAUCAUAAUAUGAGAAAAAAGAGGCACAGUGAAGCUAAAUAUAUUGGCUAAAGAUCACAAAGCUAAGUUGAAAUUUUUCAAGAUGAAAAGUUGCUAAAGAAAGAGAAAGGGAAGCGGUUUGCUCCAGUAUUCCUCUUUCCACCUUCCCACUGACUGGGAAGCGGCGGUUAGCAGAGCCACAGUCUUGGAUUAGAGAUAAGAGGGACAUGUUGAGGAAGGUGGAGUCUCCCCCACAGCCCUGGACCAGUACGGAAUCCCUGUAUUCUAGGAUUUGGCAAGCUGUCCACUGAAACAUUAUUUUUCCCAGCCUUCUUUGCAGAGAAAUUAGUUGAUAACGUCUUCCAGGAGACCUACGGCCAUCCUACUGAUAUGAACCAGAUCAUACCUGCCCUGAUGGGAUGCCAGAGAAAGACUGCUGCAAGGUACGCGCCACUCACAGACCUCUCCAUUUAUCUCACUGAUGCAAAGGACCCUGAGUAGGGAUCCUCUGGAAACAGAACAGAGGGAAGAAGAUACCUUCCCUGAAGCCCAGAUGUUCCAGAAGCCUGCGCCUCAUUCACAAAGUCACCCCAAAAAUGCCCUAGAGUUUGGAGUUUUGAAGAAGCGGGAAGAAGGCCUGAGUAAGGGCCUGGGAACCAAGUUAGAUCCUACUUCAGCAUCAGCACAUGCCAGCGAUGGUGCACACAGGUGGAGAGCGGCCUGCCCGUCUUUUCCAUGGUGCCCACAGACCCAUUUAGGAUGAAAGAUCAGAAAAUUCUCUCCAUGUCACCGCUUCUGAAACAUGUGAAUAUUAAUAUUUGGUGCCUAAAAGGCCAUGGCAAAUUUUCAUUGGUUUUAUCUUAUUCAUGAUUAUAGAGUUGAAAGAAUACAUAUUCCCAUGGGGAUCAAUGAAGACAUUCUCAUUUUGAAUGAAGUAGAAUAUAAGUUGUAAAGAUAUAGAAUUUUCCUGAACUGAACCUUGAACCAAAAAUCCCCUCAAUUAACCUGGAACUAAACACAGUCCCUGAAGAUAACAAGGAGUUUCAGGAUGCCACAGGGCUGUCUGUGCAGUAUGGGGCUUCUUGCUCUAUCUCUGGUAUCUGAGGCAGAUAGGCUACUCAGGCCCCUCUCUGGUCUCAAGGUGGGCUGGCUGAGAUGUCAGUUUCUUCCUCAGUGACAGCUUGGGUACAGUAUGUGUAAACUGAUUGUCAGCUGAGCUGAAGGGACUCUGCCCAUAUUGGAGUGUUCUACAAGAAGAGGUGUCAAACCUAAAGGUCUAAAAUUACUAUGAAAGGAGUAUUGGAAACCACUGGGACAAUUGUGAUCACAACUGGUGGUAGCCUUCUCGUUUGGGUGAGAAAGACAGAAAGGAGGAAGAUGUGUUAGUCAAGGUUCUCUAGAGGGACAAAACUAAUAGGAUAUAUGUAUAUAUGAGAGGGAGUUUAUUAAGGAGAAUUGACUCACUUGAUCACAAGGUAAAGUCCCAAGAUAGGCUGUCUGCAAGUUGAGGAGCAAGGAAGUCAUUGGUGGAUUGUUCUGGGUACCAAAACCUCAAAAGUAGGGAAAUCGACAGUGCAGCCUUCAGUCUGUGGUCAAAGGCUCGAGGGGCCCUGGCAGACCACUGGUGUAAGUCCAAGAGUCCCAGAAGCUGAAGAACUUGGAGUCUGAUGUUUGAGGGCAGGAAGCAUCCAGCACAGGAGAAAGACGGAUGCUGGAAGACUUAGCAAGUCUGUUCUUUCCAAUUUCUUCUGCCUGCUUUUAUUCUAGCCAUGCUGGCAGCUGAUUAGAUGGUGCCCUCCCAAAUUGAGGGUGGCUGUGCCUCUCCCAGUCCACUGACUCAAAUGUUAAUCUCCUUUGGCAACACCCUCACAGACACACCCAGGAACAAUACUUUGCAUCCUUCAUUCCAAUCAAGUUGACACUCAAUAUUAACCAUCACAGAAGGAGAAUUUCAGGCUGAGUCCAAACACUAUGGCCCCAGCCCCAGCUUCCCCUUUCUGGGUUGAAUAACCAGACUGAGCCUAAGAAAAGGAAAAGAGUUGACUUUCUCCCAAAAGGCCUGCAGCGGGUUAGAAAGCAAUGGUUUGGGGACCAUACUGAGUGCCUAGGAUGCUCUGGACCACAAAGCUUGAAGUCAAAUUGUUCAUGCACUUGUUUCAUGAUAGGAAGAGAGAGAGAGAGAGAGAGAGAGAGAGAGAAAUUUCCUUUCCUUGAAGAAUGGCAAAACACGUCUCUUGUUCUGGGGGCUAUAUCUUGAAGGGUAUCUGAUCUCCCCCUCAUGGGAGGAACUAGAAUGCCCUAAGGCAGCCGUGGCUCCUGGAGCUGAGAGAUCUUUCUGACACUUUGUGAGAGCUGCAAGGCUAAGUCUGGAGCCAGAAAAGUCCAUGUGGACAAGUGCAGAGCAAGCAGAUCUGAGACACAUGUGGGAGCAAGCUGGACAUGUCCAAAAGUCAGAGGAAGCAAGAGCAGACAUGCAUGAGCAGGCAGAUGAGGCUGGUGCCCAGGCAGCAGGCUGAGGCUCUGGCUGGGCUUUGGAUGCUCCUGAGAGUCCAGUUAGAGACCAGUGAGCAAACCCACAGUGAACUCUUAUUCCUCACGCAGCAGGACGAGGGAUUAAGCACAAAGCCUUAAAGGUCUGAGUGUCUCUUUAUCCUGACCUCAGGAAAGAGAGGCAAGUAUCAUGUUUCUAAAAGUCUGAGAAGUCUUCACAUGACAGCCUACACCAAAAGAACUCAAAUGCACAUCCACUGCAUACACGCAUGUGUGCACACAUAUACAUGUGUACACAUGCAUGCCCACACACAACCCUCUGGAAGAGGAAGUAAAGAGACUUUAUGUUUUCAGCCCCUCUUGAGGAAACUUAAACUAAGUCUUUCUGUGGGGUUAGUGGUGGAGACAGAGAGGGUCUGGGGUCACCGAGGCCGAGGUGGCUGGACCCAGAGGGUAGAGCUGAGGGGAUCCCCUGAGACUGGGAAGAUGGAGCAGAAGCAGAUGGCAGAUGGCAGCAGGUGAGAGCAGACUGGAUUUCUCCUAAAUCACCAGAUCCAGCCAACCUUUCUUUCCUUAGGGACACCUCUAGAUCCCAUUCCAAAUGAACUCUUUCUCUGACCUUUCACCUCAAUUCAGAAUUUGGGAAAUUUAGCCAUGAUCUUAGGAACACAGAGGCUUGAAACAAUCUUUUCUAACCACCCGUUUGUUCAGACUGUGUAAGUUCUGCUUCUGCAUCCAGUGUCAACACCCAAGAACCAUUUUAAAGGGGAGCCAUCCUUUGAAAUUAAACUUCUUUUAAUAAUAAAGACAGAUUUCAGGGUUGACAUAAAAGAUAGCCACAGUAAAGCCAAUCCUCCAGUGUAUAACAUUUUUCAAAGUUUCCUUCCUCUUCAUUGCUGGUGUUCAUGUACAGUCCAGAGUUAGUCUACAUUAAAUUAUAGAUUGUUUUCAGCAAUAAUGCAAACAUUUGGAAGCCUUCAAACUCUCUGAUAACUAACUUCUACAUUCUCUCUGCUAUUAUUAUAUAGAAAGGGAAAUUUUACCUGAUGCUGUUAAAGUCCUCACGAACAUAGUGAUCCGAAUUGGCUGAAGUGGAAAACUAAAUGUUAGCUGAUUUUCAAAACAAGAUUUCCACUCUGAAUUCCCAUUUUUCACAUGUGAUCAUAUGCCUUGUUGUGAAGUUGAACUAAAAAGAAACUCCAUGCCCACUGGCUUAAUGCUAGAAGAUAAUCUACAGCAUAGUAAUUUCUUAGACUUCACUUUAUUAGCCACUAAACUUGGAAUGAUUAUUUCUAUGUUCAAUUAUUAAGUCUAUAUCUCCAUUUCUUAAAAAGGUCUGAGGCAGCCCCUUUGAAUAUUAAUACGCAUUUAUUUUCACCUCUCAAAUAAAA
rnacentral:lncRNA from 1 species